CUAGGGCACUUUGGCAAGGAUUUGACUGAGGGGCUGUUGAAGAUGUCCUCUUGCUACUUUGGGGCUGGACUGCCGUUUGGGAGGGCACCUGCCCCGGAUGGCGCAGAGGCUGUCCUCGUUGACUAGCUGGAGCAGGAUGACAUAGGUACAGCAGCGGUGGCAGCGCUUACGAAGCCGCUCACUCCAGCGUGCUGUCUAUUUCAUCUGCGCCGUCAUUUGCUUGGCAUCCUUUCUGCAAGGUGGCACUAACGUGGUGCUUCUCAGGCAGAGUGUUCUGCCCCCUCCCACCAGGAGACACUUAGCAAUGUCUCAAGAUGUUUUCAAUUGUCAAGUCAGGGGGGGUGCCCCUGACCUCAGGGGGUAAGGACCGGAUGUGCCUAACUGUCCCACAGCGAGUGCCACAGACCCCCUACCAAAGAAGUACUGGGCCCUGUCGAUGGUGCCGCGGUGAGGAAUCUGCAUUAAAGUAAAUGGACCAGGUGCCACCGGAAUUACCCAAAAUACCUUCAAUUCGUAGGCUAUGCAUUAAUGAUUCAUACGGAUUUUUUCCAAUGAAACAUUUAAAUAUCCACAAUGGGAACUCCUGUAUUAGAAUCUUUUUAGAAAAAAAUAAUGCAAAAUCCAAAGGGAGAGAUAAUCUUCAUGAAGCAGCCAAUCAAAAUCGCCUUCUGGGCACAUGAGACUACAAAAUACUGCACUGACUUGGAAAAGUAAAAUAAACUUAUAUCCUGUCUUACACAGAGUUGUGAUCUCAAGGACAUCAUGAUCUAACCGCGGAGUGAAAAAACUACUCCGGGAGUUCCCGUCAGUGGCACAGUGGUUAACGAAUCCGACUAGGAACCAUGAGGUUGCGGGUUCGAUCCCUGCCCUUGCUCAGUGGGUUAACGAUCCGGUGUUGCCGUGAGCUGUAGUGUGGACCCCUAGCCUAGGAACCUCCAUAUACUGCAGGAGCGGCCCGAGAAAUGGCAAAAAGACAAAAAAAAAAAAAAAAAAAAAAAACAAACAAAAAAAACUACUCCGUGGUUUACUUCUUUAUAUAUUCCACCGGGCUUUUCUGCCCUCCAGCUUGCUCCGUGGCUCACAUGCCAACCUGGCUGAUCACUGUCCUUUUUAUUAGUUUUUUCCGUAGGGCUGCACAUGGAAGUUCCUGGGCUAGGGGUCAGGUCCAAGCUUCUGCCAAUCCAGGCCACAGCCACAGCAAACACCAGAUCUCUGACCUGCUGUGGGAGGCCAGGGAUCGAACCCACAUCCUCACAGGCACCGGUCAAGCCGCAACAGGAGCUCGUAUUAGAUGCUGCUUUUGAUCCACGUAGCAUCGUAAUUCUAAGACAUGUGAGGGCACAGAGAUGUUACCUUUCCCUGGGCAUACCAGCUGUUCCAUGCAGAAGUUGAGGCAAUAAGCCAAAUUUAUUUUCUAAAUUUGGGGGCAAGUCUUAUUUCCCCCCAGAUGCAAUCAGAAUUUCAAAGAGCGUCUUUGUUCAAGGACCAGAUGAAAGCAGCCCUUUGCCAGAAUUGGAAUUUGCCUUCACAGCAGCCAGCAGCAAGCAUGUGCCAUAGCCUUUUGUGAGUGCAGAGAUCUUGGAAACGGACCUCAAGCGUUUUCUAGGCAGCGUUUGGGGGUGGUGGUGGCGGAAAUGGAGCUAAAAGUGACCUGAACAUCAUGUGACGAAUUCUGCCUUCUCUUCAUAUCCUGUGAUUGGCAUUUGCGUCCAUUCACAUUUUCAGAAAUAAUGACCCAGCUGGAAAACUGGAAACCCGCUGAAUCUGAGCGCCAUCUCAGAGAGCUGCCGACAAUGCCCGCAAAAGAAGGUUGGCUUUUUGUCUCCCGGGGGCGGGAGAGAGGACAGGAGAUGCUGGCAUCUGAGGCUCCCUGCCAGCCUGGAAGGAGACAGUCUGGCUGAAUGAGGCUGAAUCCAGAAGCAACUGGUUCAUUCUUCAUUCGGAUCCUUAUCGAGAACUUGGUUAAUGACCUGCUAAAUCUGAACCUGCUCAAUUACAUUCCAGGCCCAUCACUAAAAACUUAAGUAGCUUUAAUUAGUUUUUAUUGAAAAGCAUAAGUAAGGUGAGUAUUGACUCUCUUAGAUUUAAACUUCUGUGAUUGGAAACAGUAAGGCAUUCGAGCCCUUCCAUCACUGCUCGUGAGCGUCUGGGGAAUUGCUGUGGGACGGCUCUUUAAAGAUAUCCUAUAAAAGUUCCCAGACGCCUCUCAAAGCCACGCCAUCCUCGGACUCCCGAGCUUCACAGUUUUAAUCCCUUCCGACGUGGGCCUCGGGAGGGGGGGACGAGGAAAUCUAGAUUUCCCCUCUCUCUUAUUCUCUGACCUUGAACCAAGAGUAUGAAUAACCCCGCGCCCUUUGUCUCAGGAUCCCUGAUUCCUGUGGAUUCCUGAGGCUCUUUUGCAGGGCUGGCUGUAGGCAGUGAGCUGUCAAGGUGUCAGUGGCGUGGGCUCCUCUGGGGGACAUUGCACACAGCCAUCCCUGCCACUGUGCUCCGAGUUAGUCUGUGCUCCAGCGGGCCCUCCAGCUGGCUGCCAGCACAUCCUCUGAACCAAAUGCUUGGUUAGAAUGUUAGAACAGAGCUUUUUGAUGCCAAUCAGGGUGGGGCCCUGACACUCCAGCCUCUGGCCCUCAGAGCUGAUAAAUCACCAUCCAUGUCAGCACUUUGCACUGACUGUACGCCCACCUUACCUGCCUUGCUGGGUUUUUUCUCUCUGAAACACUUAGUUGAGCUCCGAAGGCAUGCCUGUGGUCCAUCAAUAUCCCCGAUUUAGGAUUCCUUUCCCAAGAGCUUGGGCAUUCAUCCUGGCAAAAAAAAAAAAAAAAAAAAAAAAAAAAA
rnacentral:lncRNA from 1 species